UCCCCUUGGCGCAUCAGCCAGCCAGCAACGGCGCGAGAGCGAUGCGGCCCCCCACCCGCAGCGAGUUCGGCUUCUCCGUCGCCGGCAAGCGCAAGCGCUCGCCGGAGUUCCCCUGCGCGUCGCGCUUCCGGCAGCGGCGGCUCAUCUCCUUCCUCGGGCACCACAACUUCAACCGCACCGUGGAUGUGUUGGUGACCCAGACGGACGUGUUCCUGUGCCUGAAGCACAUGGCCGAGCUGGUGGACGCGGGCUCCUGGGACAAGGCCAUCGACUACCUCUCCCGCUUCCUGCCCUCCGACCGCCCGCUCGGCGUCCACGGCCGCGCCCUCUUCCACUACCUCCGCGUGCACAAGGCCAUCGACGACGUGCUCGCCGGAGCCCCGGAGGCCCGCUCCGUCACCACCGCCCUCGACCAGUGCAUCAUCCGCCACCCCACCAAGAGCCAAGCCCUCACCAGGCUCCGCGCCAUCUUCUCCUCCCUCCUCUGCUCCAAGAGAUACAGGGCUGUCCUGGACAUAGGGCGCGUGAGGCACGAGGCUAAACUGACUAUCGUCGACUUGGUUUGUAAGACUCCAGAGUUGAAAGACCAUAUGCGACCCGCCCGCGGCUCAAUGGAACCCCAGAACGUGCUUCCCAUUGGCUUCGGCUACGCUUGUUUCCGUCCGAGGCGCCACGUGAAGAAACGAGGCGGCCGGAUCCCGGCGUCUGUGCUUGGCAGGCUUUAUCUUGAGAAGAAGAAGAAGAUGCUGCCUUCUUUGACUUCAGACCAUCACGCCCAGGGGUUAACUCGUGGUACGAUACCCAAAAAGUUUUAUGGAAUCAUGGUUCAGCCGAACCUACGCUCGACACCAUUGAUUUCUAGACACUAUUCAUGAGAAUUCAUGCAUGGAUGAUUAAAAAAAUGCAGUUGACAUGCAUGUCACAGAUCCACAUGUAGUAGGAUGUUAAAUCAUACGGCAUAAACCAUAGAUUCGGCUGAACCAUGGUCCUGAAUCACGUCUCUCGUACGAUACCGUCAUACAAAUUACUCCCUCCGUCCGGGUUUAUUAGGCCCGUGGGAAGCAGGAGGUUGUCCCUAUUUGCAAGGCCCUCAUGCAAUCAGGCUGGCGCAUGCGUCCAUCGUAUUGGGCAGGAGCCGCGGCAUUAAAUUGAGCAUGGGGCUGCAUGCAGUCAUUAAUUAAGGCCAAGGAAUGGCUUGUGGAUCUUGUUGAGAUAAGUUUGGAAACCGGCAAGAUGAGUGAAGCGGAACUGACUCAAUCUGCCUCUAACAAAGGUUACUUCACACCUUCUCCGUCCACCAAACAUUUAGCUAAGUUAUAGUCUCACUUGAAGAAAGCCUUCAGUUUUGUCCACCAAAACACUUCAGUUUAUUGUCAUUGUCUCCACUUUCUAUUUGGAGUAUUUUCUGGCAGUAAUAACUUUUUGAAUCCUUGCUGCAUUGCUGGUCACAUCUGCACAACCAUCCCUCUGUAGCUUACAUAUCCACACAAUUAGAAUGUGAUAACUCAUGCAACGACAAUGCUUGCUUGCAUCUCUCAUUAACUUUGUUACUACAGUGCCCCGAGUGCUCUCUGCUGCAAACUUGCAAUAGGUUAUUUGCUCUUACCACAUUGAUUUCAUGGCCUGCUAUGGACCUGUAAUACAUCCUGAUGCUACAUUCUCCGGCAGCAUAACUGGUUUGGCUGCCUAGAUGCUACCGUUUCUAACUGCUGAACUCAUGGCAGGUGGUCCGAUUACUCCAGUCUCACGGACUAAUCUUGCUACCUUCAAAGUGGUUACUAAUCGUACAUUAUUCCGCAAGGCAAAAGAAUGGAUGGUAUAUUUUACAGGUUAAACUAGACUCUGCUCUGCAUGUUUUCAUUUGCUUGUAUACCUGUUCAUUUAUGCAUGAACAAUUGUGCUCAACUUACCGUUGAUCUCUAGCUUGGUUAUGCGUUAGCAACUGAUGGAACUUAUGUGAUCGUCAGAGGAAUGUUUGAAAGCUUGGCCAGACGCGAGUCAAGAUGAUCUACCUCAACUUUUCUGCAAGGAUGGUGAUCCUGAUGGCACAGUCUCCCGUACAGUGCCUGGUAGCUUGACUAGUCUUGCUGAAAAUUCAGCGAUUGCAUCAGUCAAAAAGCCAGGUAACUUAGUUGCAUAUUCUGAAAUCUCCAUACCAGGCUAACCCCAUCUGCAAAAUUUGUCUAGAUUGGUCGUUAAAAAACACCAAAUAUUGGCUGACAAGUUAUUUAUAUCACGAUUAACGGAUUUUGAUUUCCCAUUCUUUGAUUUCAUUAAUACAGAUUAUAACUGGUCAUGCUGGUAAUUUUCGUUUGAUGUGCUUUCAUGAGUCUUGCAUUGGUUUGACUCUUCUCUUUUCCUUGAGUCCAUGGUAAUUUCAGAAUAGCCUGCAGCAGGGACAUGCAUAAGCUUGUGUACUGUAUUGCUUGGGAAAAAAGUACUAUGUGUACUGGAAACAUGCGUGCACCUUCUUGGUCAUGUCCACAUGUUCCUUUUUAUACUGCACAUUGGUCCUCCUAAUUUCUUGAUAUAUUCAGACAUCAAUGGAAAGAAUUCAAAUGCAGACUCCUGUUCUUUAA